GGGUGGUAAUGCCGGAUGUUCCACAUGAUCGCAUGUGAUUGUGGGAAAGAUUUCAUCGGCGUGGGAUGGGGUCGCGUCCUAUCAGCUUGUUGGUGAGGUAACGGCUCACCAAGGCUUCGACGGGUAGCCGGCCUGAGAGGGCGACCGGCCACAUUGGGACUGAGAUACGGCCCAGACUCCUACGGGAGGCAGCAGUGGGGAAUAUUGCACAAUGGGCGCAAGCCUGAUGCAGCGACGCCGCGUGAGGGAUGGAGGCCUUCGGGUUGUAAACCUCUUUUGUUUGGGAGCAAGCCUUCGGGUGAGUGUACCUUUCGAAUAAGCGCCGGCUAACUACGUGCCAGCAGCCGCGGUAAUACGUAGGGCGCAAGCGUUAUCCGGAUUUAUUGGGCGUAAAGGGCUCGUAGGCGGCUCGUCGCGUCCGGUGUGAAAGUCCAUCGCUUAACGGUGGAUCUGCGCCGGGUACGGGCGGGCUGGAGUGCGGUAGGGGAGACUGGAAUUCCCGGUGUAACGGUGGAAUGUGUAGAUAUCGGG
rnacentral:rRNA from 1 species